rnacentral:hammerhead_ribozyme from 1 species
AUCCAGAUGACGAGUCUCAGAUAGGACGAAACGGGUGUCCUGGAU